rnacentral:lncRNA from 1 species
GAACUUGGCCGACCCUCGCGGCAUCUUCCUGGCACCUCACGGGCCACGAUCUUGAGGGAGGCGAGUAGACCCGCCGGUCUCCUGGAGGACCUCAGGGUCCCUGGGCUGGGGAGGAGGCUGGAGGGAUGCUGAGGGGUAGAAGCGAAGUGAAGAAGGGUUAGGCUUGCUGCUACAGGAGUGAUUGGAGUAGAGCGAAGUCUCUUUCCUCCUGAGAAAUUUCUCCUAAUGCACCUGGCCAACUCUUACUCAUCCGUCAAAACCCCUUUCCAAAUUAUGUUCUCCCGUACUUUAAGAAGUUGUCUCAAAACUAAGAUUGAGCUUUGGCAUCCUUCUCUGGGUUUCCUCCCACCCUGACUGCUCCUGGCGGGGUGUGUAGGUGUUCAGAACCAUACCCCCCCCACCACCUCAUAAGAGUCCCUGGCUAAAGUCUUUGUGACUUCUGCCUGAAGAUGACCUCUCGGGGCCAUCGCAGCCCCCACGAGCACCUUCAAAAGAUGGUGAGGCCUCCAGGAACUUUGGCUCAUCCUGAGGCCAGCCUUCCAGCCCUGAACUACCAGGAGGUUCUGGAUCAACUCAAGCAGCAGUUCCCCAGGUUCCCCACUCACUUGACAUCACAGAUGAACAGCGCUUACUACCUGGUGAGCCCCGCCCCUCCGCCCACCCCCAUCAGGCAGCUCCUCUCCUGGAAAGGGAAAGGGCUGUUCUGUUUGGCCUCAGGAGUCAGCUUUGGGGACACCUGCUCCUCUACUUUGCUUACUUUAGACAACUGAGGCAACUCACUGAGCCCAAGCUUCCUGUGAGUUUUUCUUAAUAAAAUAUGGAAAACAAGUAAUUGCAUAUUUAAAUUAAGGAGAUAUUUCUUUGGCUCAGUGAGUCAGGAGUAUAAGACAUGACUGGAGUCCCUGUCCUUCAAAAGUGUAUGUCCUAGUGUGUGCUGUCUUCUAGAACUUUCCAUGAAGAUAGAAAUGUUCUCUAUCAACAGGGUCCCAUAUGGCACCCACUAGCCACAUGUGGCUCCUAAGCACUGGUAAGGAGCUGAAUUUAACUUGAUCAAAAGUUAGAGCCACACUUGACUAGUGGCUACUUCACUGGACCAGUCAGCUCUAAAGGAAGGAGAGAAACAGAUAAGCAAACAGGGAAAUGAGAGUCACAAAAUAUCAGCAUCAAGAAAGCAGAAGGAGAUCCCAUUCGUGGCUCAUUGGUUAAUGAUUAGUAUCCAUGAGGAUGCGGGUUCAAUCCCUGACCUCGCUCAGUGGGUUAAGGAUCUGGUGUUGCCGUGAGCUGUGGUGCAGGUCAUAGACGUGGCUCAGAUCCCACAGAUGUGGGAUGUGGCCCCAAAAAGACAAAAAUACGGAAAAAAAAAAAAAAA